rnacentral:rRNA from 1 species
GGGGGCCCGCACAAGCGGAGGAACAUGUGGUUUAAUUCGAUGAUACGCGAGGAACCUUACCCGGGAUUGAAAUGCAGACGACGGAGAGUGAGAGCUUUCUUCCCUUCGGGGCGUCUAUGUAGGUGCUGCAUGGUUGUCGUCAGCUCGUGCCGUGAGGUGUCGGCUUAAGUGCCAUAACGAGCGCAACCCUGACUGUCAGUUGCUAACAGGUAAAGCUGAGGACUCUGGCGGGACUGCCGGCGUAAGCUGUGAGGAAGGUUGGGAUGACGUCAAAUCAGCACGGCCCUUACAUCCGGGGCGACACACGUGUUACAAUGGCAGGGACAAAGGGCAGCUACCGGGCGACCGGAUGCCAAUCUCCAAACCCUGUCUCAGUUCGGAUCGGAGUCUGCAACUCGACUCCGUGAAGCUGGAUUCGCUAGUAAUCGCGCAUCAGCCAUGGCGCGGUGAAUACGUUCCCGGGCCUUGUACACUCCGCCCGUCAAGCCAUGGGAGCCGGGGGUACCUGAAGUCCGUAACCGCGAGGAUCGGCCUAGGGAAAGCUGGGAAAAAAAAAAAAAUUGG